UUGCAGUGGCCAAACGGUUUAAUUCUGAUUCCCAUUCCGACGUUUCGAUCAGACCGCCCUCAGGGUGGACCUUAGUGAUCGUUUUCACAAAAAAAAGGCCGGCAGAUGUGUGGAGACGGAAGGGAUGGAGGAAAUAUGGAUCGGACAGAAACAUGUGGCUGAGAUGGGAGAGCAGCCGCCAUCUUGUUGAUGGUUAGAGGGGCUGAAUGGCCUCCUCCUGCUGUUUUUCACUUGAUGUUUCAGUGUUCCUGUCCAGUGAGGCUCCGGAGGAAUGUGAAUAGAAAAAAAGUGUUUAGAAACAUAGAAGUGAUUUCAAUGAAACCUGCACAAUUCCUUUCCGGGUGGGAAUUGUAUGUCAUACCGGGAUGGGAAUCGAACCCUUAACUCUGAGAACCGGAAGAUGGUGCCAUGGGGACGGGAAAGAUCCAGAGGGAAACACUAAAAACGUAGCUGGUAAAUAUGGAAUAAUGUGGGGAAUGCAGCAGGUAGGUCGGACAGUGUGUGAGGGGCGAGGAGCAGAGUCACCGGUUUCUCGCUCCCAUUUCAAACGCAGAUCUGCAGCAUCUCAGGUUUUUGCUUCCGAGGCCCCGCCCCCGCUCUCACAGUCUCCGGAUGGGCGGGGGUUUUCUUUCCGUUCUCUGUUGAAGCUGAUCGUCUGUGGGGAGCCGGUGGACGGAUCUCGCUGCUCUCCGGACAAAUUGAUGAACUUCUCAUCGGUCAGUUUUGAGGCCGGUCACUGGGGUUGAACGCAACCGACAAGUUCCCAUCGUUAGACCUGCGGUGAGAGAUUUAUUGGAAGAAAAACCCACAGCUGGAAAGAAGCCACGAAUGAGAACGAGGGAACAGCGACAAGUGAACCAGCCAGAGGACUGAGAGUACCAACUGAAGAGAACCCUCUGACUCAGAGUUUCCAUUGAUUCAGUCAGGAGAAAGUUUGAGCCUCACCAGCAGGUGGAGCUGUCCUGCAGAGCGACCAAAGUGUGAACAAGACGACGACAAUCAACAAUCGUCAGUCAGACUCAGAAUGGACAAAG